rnacentral:rRNA from 1 species
UAGGGAAUAUUUGGCAAUGGGCGCAAGCCUGAUCCAGCCAUCCCGCGUGAAGGAUGAAGGUCCUCUGGAUUGUAAACUUCUUUUCUUCGGGAAUAAAAACUGGGGUUCUCCUCAGCUUGAAGGUACCGAAGGAAUAAGCACCGGCUAACUCCGUGCCAGCAGCCGCGGUAAUACGGAGGGUGCAAGCGUUAUCCGGAUUCACUGGGUUUAAAGGGUGCGUAGGUGGCUUUGUAAGUCAGUGGUGAAAGCUCGGAGCUCAACUCCGAAACUGCCAUUGAUACUGCUUAGCUUGAAUCAGGUGGAGGUGGAUGGAAUGUGACAUGUAGCGGUGAAAUGCUUAGAUAUGUUACAGAACACCGAUUGCGAAGGCAGUUCACCAGCCCUGUAUUGACACUGAGGCACGAAAGCGUGGGGAUCAAACAGGAUUAGAUACCCUGGUAGUCCACGCCCUAAACGAUGUAAACUCGACAUUAGCGAUAUACAGUUAGUGUCUUAGCGAAAGCGUUAAGUUACCACCCUGGAAG